rnacentral:rRNA from 1 species
CAGCCGCCGCGGGAAUACCAGCAGCCCAAGUGGUGGUCGCGAUUAUUGGGCCUAAAGCGCUCGUAGCCGGGCCGGUAAGUCCCUUGUGAAAUCGGACGGCCUAACCGUUCGGCGUGCAAGGGAUACUGUCGGUCUUGAGGCCGGGAGACGUCCGAGGUACUCCGGGGGUAGCGGUGAAAUGUUCUGAUCCUCGGGGGACCACCGGUGGCGAAGGCGUUCGACGAGAACGGGCCUGACGGUGAGGGGCGAAGGCUAGGGGAGCAAACGGGAUUAGAUACCCCCGUAGUCCCUGUCUCUUAUA